GAUGAACGCUGGCGGCGUGCCUAAUACAUGCAAGUCGAGCGAACGGACGAGAAGCUUGCUUCUCUGAUGUUAGCGGCGGACGGGUGAGUAACACGUGGAUAACCUACCUAUAAGACUGGGAUAACUUCGGGAAACCGUAGCUAAUACCGGAUAAUAUUUUGAACCGCAUGGUUCAAAAGUGAAAGACGGUCUUGCUGUCACUUAUAGAUGGAUCCGCGCUGCAUUAGCUAGUUGGUAAGGUAACGGCUUACCAAGGCAACGAUGCAUAGCCGACCUGAGAGGGUGAUCGGCCACACUGGAACUGAGACACGGUCCAGACUCCUACGGGAGGCAGCAGUAGGGAAUCUUCCGCAAUGGGCGAAAGCCUGACGGAGCAACGCCGCGUGAGUGAUGAAGGUCUUCGGAUCGUAAAACUCUGUUAUUAGGAAAGAACAUAUGUGUAAGUAACUGUGCACAUCUUGACGGUACCUAAUCAGAAAGCCGCGGCUAACUACGUG
rnacentral:rRNA from 1 species